AUUGAACGCUAGCGGGAUGCCUUACACAUGCAAGUCGAACGGCAGCGCGGACUUCGGUCUGGCGGCGAGUGGCGAACGGGUGAGUAAUGUAUCGGAACGUGCCCAGUAGCGGGGGAUAACUACUCGAAAGAGUAGCUAAUACCGCAUACGCCCUACGGGGGAAAGGGGGGGAUCGCAAGACCUCCCACUAUUGGAGCGGCCGAUAUCGGAUUAGCUAGUUGGUGUGGUAAAGGCUCACCAAGGCGACGAUCCGUAGCUGGUUUGAGAGGACGACCAGCCACACUGGGACUGAGACACGGCCCAGACUCCUACGGGAGGCAGCAGUGGGGAAUUUUGGACAAUGGGGGCAACCCUGAUCCAGCCAUUCCGCGUGUGCGAUGAAGGCCUUCGGGUUGUAAAGCACUUUUGGCAGGAAAGAAAUCGCACGGAUUAAUACUCUGUGUGGAUGACGGUACCUGCAGAAUAAGCACCGGCUAACUACGUGCCAGCCGCCGCAGUAA
rnacentral:rRNA from 1 species